rnacentral:rRNA from 1 species
GAUCCUAGCUCAGGACGAACGCUGGCGGCGCGCCUAACACAUGCAAGUCGAACGAGCGAGAGAGAGCUUGCUUUCUUGAGCGAGUGGCGAACGGGUGAGUAACGCGUGAGGAACCUGCCUCAAAGAGGGGGACAACAGUUGGAAACGACUGCUAAUACCGCAUAAGCCCACGGCUCGGCAUCGAGCAGAGGGAAAAAGGAGCAAUCCGCUUUGAGAUGGCCUCGCGUCCGAUUAG